CUGAGUUCUUAACUCUUCAACCCCUGUGAAUCUACCUGUCCUUGUUGCUUUGGUAGGCGGUCCCUGGGAGGGACCUGUAGCCUGUUACGGGUGCCUACCGAAGAGCAUACCAAACUCUGUUACAGCGGUGUCACUAUCUGAGUCAUACAAAAAUAAACAUUA
rnacentral:misc_RNA from 1 species